rnacentral:lncRNA from 1 species
UCGGAUCCUCUGUCGCGGGCCCACGUCCCAGUCCUCUCCUUCCUCUCACAGUUCAUGUAGCCCCUACAUCCUCCCCUGAUUGUCCAGGUUAGUUGCGAGGGGCUCGUAAUCUGCAAGUUCCUAAUUUUGAAUUGGUUGUGUGUAGUUGUGCUGCAGGCACUUCACGGAUGAGAUUUUCUCAUGCUGUUCUCACCUCCUCACGUCGUGCAGCCUCCACACGCGAAGCCACCGAGGCAGGAAUCGGAAGUGCCAGUCUGUGCAUCGUGUUCUCACGCCAACCCCAAGGUCGUCUUGCUGCCCUGUUGCAAGAAUUUUGUGUAUCUUUUCAGUAUCAGUCUGACAGAUUCAUGUGUAUCUUUUCAGUAUUCAAAAUUAGGCAAUUCAAGUGAUACAUAUAUUGUUUGGAAUUUCGUUGCUAGGCCAUGAUCGGUUCAAUUUAUCCAUCAUUUAAUGUUUUCAUUUUUCAAGAUGUACAGUAGUUACUUCUAUGGAAUUGUACUAACAAGAUUAUAUUCAGCUUCGUUAAUGUCCAGAU